AGGAGGAACAACCGCAGUGGCGGGGCCAGCUCUGGAGCCCUGGAGUCAGCCCCCGCAGUAACCACAGAGCUCUCCGUCUGCAGGGCCUGGAUGCUCCGGGCGGGG
rnacentral:pre_miRNA from 1 species